UGGGGAAUUUUGGACAAUGGGCGCAAGCCUGAUCCAGCAAUGCCGCGUGCAGGAUGAAGGCCUUCGGGUUGUAAACUGCUUUUGUACGGAACGAAACGGCUCUGGUUAAUACCUGGGGCUAAUGACGGUACCGUAAGAAUAAGCACCGGCUAACCACGUGCCAGCAGCCGCGGUAAUACGUAGGGUGCGAGCGUUAAUCGGAAUUACUGGGCGUAAAGCGUGCGCAGGCGGUGAUGUAAGACAGAUGUGAAAUCCCCGGGCUCAACCUGGGACCUGCAUUUGUGACUGUAUAGCUAGAGUACGGCAGAGGGGGAUGGAAUUCCGCGUGUAGCAGUGAAAUGCGUAGAUAUGCGAAGGAACACCGAUGGCGAAGGCAAUCCCCUGGGCCUGUACUGACGCUCAUGCACGAAAGCGUGGGGAGCAAACA
rnacentral:rRNA from 1 species